AAAAAAAUGGAGUUUACGUGGAAAAAACCGAAUUUUGGGAAAAAAUAGGCAAAAAAUCGGAGUUUGUGUGGAAACCUGGGGGAUUUUGGUGUGAUUUUGGGGGGUUUUGGGGGUUUUGGGGUGGCCCAGCACGACGUGGGCGAGCUGCAGCGGCGCUACGGCGAGUGAGAGCCGGGGCGAAAAAGGGCGGAUUCGGGCAAAGAGGGGAAAAAAAACCGGGGGGGGUUUGGGGAAUAAAUGGUGGAAAAGUGGCGGGUUUUGGUGGUUUUUUGGGGGGGUUUGGGGGGGUUAAGAAGAGCGGGAGAGGUCCGAGGGGUUUCUGGGUAAAAAUCCGGGAGUUUUGGGGAAAAAAAGCCGAAUUUUGGGGAAAAAUGUGGAAAUCUGGGCAAAAAGAGCCAAAAAAAUGGAGUUUGUGUGGAAAAAUUGGUGUUUUUUUGGGAGUUUAGGGGUUUUUUGGGUUUUUUUUGUGGGUGUCAGAAGGGCUGGGAGAGCUCCAGGAGCUGCCGAGAGAAUUGGGAGAAAAUCCGGGAGUUUUGGGGAAAAAACGGGGAAUUUUGGGGAAAAAAAUGCCGAA